rnacentral:rRNA from 1 species
UACAGAGGUCUCAAGCGUUUGUUCGGAUUCAUUGGGCGUAAAGGGUGCGUAGGUGGCGUCGUAAGUCGGGUGUGAAAUUUCGGAGCUUAACUCCGAAACUGCAUUCGAUACUGGCGUGCUUGAGGACUGGAGAGGAGACUGGAAAUUCAUGGUGUAGCAGUGAAAUGCGUAGAGAUCAUGAGGAAGACCAGUGGCGAAGGCGGGUCUCUGGACAGUUCCUGACACUGGAGACACGAAGGCCCAGGGGAGCAAACGGG